rnacentral:rRNA from 1 species
AACGAACGCUGGCGGCAUGCCUAACACAUGCAAGUCGAACGAGACCUUCGGGUCUAGUGGCGCACGGGUGCGUAACGCGUGGGAACCUGCCUUUAGGUUCGGAAUAACUCAGAGAAAUUUGAGCUAAUACCGGAUAAUGUCUUCGGACCAAAGAUUUAUCGCCUUUAGAUGGGCCCGCGUUGGAUUAGCUAGUUGGUGGGGUAAAGGCCUACCAAGGCGACGAUCGGUAACUGGUCUGAGAGGAUGAUCAGUCACACUGGAACUGAGACACGGUCCAGACUCCUACGGAGGCAGCAGU